rnacentral:rRNA from 1 species
AACGAACGCUGGCGGCAUGCCUAACACAUGCAAGUCGAACGAGACCUUCGGGUCUAGUGGCGCACGGGUGCGUAACGCGUGGUAACCUGCCCUUAGGUUCGGCAUAACUCCCCGAAAGGGGUGCUAAUACCGUAUAAUGUCUUCGUACCAAAUGUUUAUCGCCUUUGGAUGGGCCCGCGUUGUAUUAGCUAGUUGGUAGGGUAAAAGCCUACCAAGGCGUCGAUCCAUAGCUGGUCUGAGAGGAUGCUCAGCCACACUGGGACUGAGACACGGCCCAGACUCCUACGGGAGGCAGCGAUGGGGGAUAUUGGAACAGGGGCCAAAGGCUGAACCAGCGAGGGCGGGAGGAUGGUGAAGGGCUUAGGGUUCUAAAGCUAUUUUACCCGGGAUGAUAAUGACGGUACCGGGAGAAUAAGCACCGGCUAACUACGUG